AAACUUCACUCCUCAAAUGUAUGCAGUUGUCCUCAGCACUACAUCUGGAUUUCUGACAUGGAGGUUGGUGCAGGGAGCAGCGCCAUCUUUCAGGUCUGAGGGGCUGUGCAGGGUGGCAGGUAGGGCACGGAGGGAGCUGGCUCGGGCUUAUUGAGAGGCAAGAAGCUGCUGACCUGGAGAUGCUGUGCUGACCUAGGCUGGGCCGCUGCGCCUGGGCACGGGUUUGAAGGGGAAAAGACUGAAAACAACAGGAUGGCAAGGGCAGGCUGGGUCAGCUGCCUGCCUGUUCCUGAGAUGCUGACAAGAGCGCACUCAUCAUUACCUAGCUGGCCCGUUCUCACGUGACUGUAGUCAGAUUCUCAGGACAUACAGAGCACUUGACAUGUAGCACCCUCUAUACGUUAUGUCUUGGACACCACUCCUGGUUUGUGCUCAAACAGCUUCCUAAAGUUCCUAGUGUCCAAGGAGCAAGAAUCCUGUGAGGGAGGGCAAACUGUUGUGUGGGAUGUUAGUUCCUGUUCCUUUGGAACGAAUUGUUAGACUCACGGAUGCCCUGAUUCAAAUAAGAUUUUCUAAUAGACACCUUUGUGACCUGAAUGCGACAAUACAUGGAUAUAAAACCACAAAAUAAUCUUGUAGUUGGUAUGAACCAGUGUUUGCACAAUCCAAAUAAAUAGGAUUUUACACUAAAGAUUAAAAAUCACUAGACAAUAAUACCUCAACAAUUCUGAGUAUGUGUUGUGUCCAAAAUUUUGACUCCUUUUCAGAUGUGAGAGACUUGACUUGGUGUGAUGAGAAAUGGCAGGGGGGGCUAGAAAGUCUGAAAGGGAAGGGGGAAAUGGCUCUGCUCAUCUUCCAGGCUCUGUACAUUGCACUCUAAUCUGCAAGGAUCUGUACAUUGCUCUCUAAUCUGCCAGAGUCUGUACAUUGUUGUCUCUUCACUUGCUUUUCUUCUUUGUGUUCAUGUUAUCAGCAUUGUCUGAACUCUCUUAAAUUUUCCUUUAUCCCUUAAUGUGACAUUCAUGUUUACUGACACACCCUUCUUAAUAGUUUUAGAAAAAAUUCUCCCAAGUUUUUCAACUGUAUUUGAAAAGCUGUAAGAUAGAACUGGAGAGAUGGCUCAGUGGUUAAGAUAUCUGGCUGUUCUUCCAAAGGUCCUGAGUUUAAUUCCCAGCAACCACUUGGUGGCUCCCGACUAUCUAUAAUUGGAUCUGAUGUUCUCUUCUGGUGUGUCAGCAAAAGAAUGCUCAAAG
rnacentral:lncRNA from 1 species